AUGCACGCUGGCGGCGUGCCUCAUACAUGCAAGUCGCGCGAACGGACGAGAAGCUUGCUUCUCUGAUGUUAGCGGCGGACGGGUGAGUAACACGUGGAUAACCUACCUAUAAGACUGGGAUAACUUCGGGAAACCGGAGCUAAUACCGGAUAAUAUUUUGAACCGCAUGGUUCAAAAGUGAAAGACGGUCUUGCUGUCACUUAUAGAUGGAUCCGCGCUGCAUUAGCUAGUUGGUAAGGUAACGGCUUACCAAGGCAACGAUGCAUAGCCGACCUGAGAGGGUGAUCGGCCACACUGGAACUGAGACACGGUCCAGACUCCUACGGGAGGCAGCAGUAGGGAAUCUUCCGCAAUGGGCGAAAGCCUGACGGAGCAACGCCGCGUGAGUGAUGAAGGUCUUCGGAUCGUAAAACUCUGUUAUUAGGGAAGAACAUAUGUGUAAGUAACUGUGCACAUCUUGACGGUACCUAAUCAGAAAGCCACGGCUAACUACGU
rnacentral:rRNA from 1 species